GGGAGCUGAGACAAAUUCCGGUGACUCUCCCACUCCUGGAACAUGCGUGUCAGGAAGGCGUACUCUCUGGCUCGGAGGGACAGAAAAUCAAUCAUCAGCAGCACACACAGGGGGUCGUUCUCUGGAUCAAGGCUCAGAAUCAGCUUGCAGAACUCCAGGGCUGUCCGGGGACAACCCCUCUUCUCCAGGAACAUCAGGUGUUUGAACAGAGCCAGGUAGAAAGCCCUGUUCUCCGGCCGCCGGUAGUCCAACCUGCAGCUCCCACUGGUCAGACUGAAGACAGGGUGGAAGGUGCACUCCAGGCUGUACAGUGCCCGCUCUACGAGAUCACGGGCCAUCUCCUGAUCCUCUUGCAUCCGGCAGACAUCACUGAGCUGCAGAAGGGAGUCCACAUGGUAUGGGUUCAUCUGAAGCAGCAGCACGAUGUUGUUGGGGUCCAUGGAUUCCACAGCAUCCAGAAACUUGAACUGCACUUGCUGGUACUCACGGUGGUGCUCAAAUGUGAAGUACUGCACACCCCUCCUGGUCUCCACCAGCUGCAUGGCAAUACCUGUUUUGCUGUAGCGUGGCCAGGUGUUCUUGGGAGCUGUCAGCCAUGUGCUGCGGACGUACUGGCGCUGCCUUUGCCUUGGCCUCUGAUCACCAAGAACAGCACGAGCCCCAAAGUACCUCUUCAACUCAUUCUCUGGAUUCAAGUUUCUGUGCUCUAUGUACAGCAGCGGCCUGCUGUCAGCGAUUAUUCCACUCUGGGUCUCUUGUGAUAGUCCAUUGGUAUCCUCAAUCUUCUCCAGCAAGCUGUCAAUGUCUUCCAGGUCAUCAUCUUCCAGAGCCUCGCCUCCUGAAGUUUUCUUUGUUUUCCUUUUCUUUUUUUUCUUUCGUGGCUUGUUAUUCAACACAGGCCUUUGGUCCGGCUGGUUUGUCCCUUUCCCAUCUGUCUGCCCAUUGUGUUUUUUCUCUUCAGGUGUAGGCUCUUCAUUGCUCCCCUCUGCUGCAUCAUGCUCUUUGAGCCUGGCAUCUGCUCGCUCCUCUUUGGAUGGCAGGUCAUCCUCUGGUUCUUCACUGGUGAUCAGCUCGAAGCGGUUGCUGAUACCGGGACGACCCCCGGCUUUGGCAGCUGCCUGCGGCCACUCCCCGCCUCGCUCGGGGCCGGAGGCCAGGCCCAACUCGCCCAGGCCCGGCUCCUCCUGGCCCCGCUGCUCACCCCGCAGCCGCCGCAGGGCCCUCCGCGACAUGGAGCCCCGCGCC
rnacentral:lncRNA from 1 species